rnacentral:rRNA from 1 species
GAUGAACGCGGCGGCGUGCUUAACACAUGCAAGUCGAACGAGAGAUACAGGAGGAAGUUUUCGGACGGAAUCCGGUAGAUCGAGUGGCGGACGGGUGAGUAACGCGUGGGGAACCUGCCUCAUACAGGGGGAUAACAGUUGGAAACGACUGUUAAUACCGCAUAAGACCACAGAGUCGCAUGACUCAGGGGUAAAAACUCCGGUGGUAUGAGAUGGACCCGCGUUCGAUUAGCCAGUGGCGGGGUAACGGCCCACCAAAGCGACGAUCGAUAGCCGAUUUGAGAGAAUGACCGGCCACAUUGGGACUGAGACACGGCCCAAACUCCUACGGGAGGCAGCAGUGGGGAAUAUUGCACAAUGGGGGGAACCCUGAUGCAGCGACGCCGCGUGAGUGAAGAAGUAUUUCGGUAUGUAAAGCUCUAUCAGCAGGGAAGAAGAUGACGG